rnacentral:rRNA from 1 species
GACGAACGCUGGCGGCGUGCUUAACACAUGCAAGUCGAACGGAAAGGCCCUGCUUUUGUGCGGUGCUCGAGUGGCGAACGGGUGAGUAACACGUGAGUAACCUGUCCUUGACUUUGGGAUAACUUCAGGAAACUGGGGCUCAUACCGGAUAGGAGCUACUGCAGCAUGGUGGGGGUUGGAAAGUUUCGGCGGUUGGGGAUGGAAUCGCGGCUUAUCAGCUUGUUGGUCGGGUAGUGGAAUACCAAGGCUUUGAAGGGUAGCCGGCCUGAGAGGGUGACCGGGCACAAGACGACUGCGGGACGCAGCAGUAGCGAACGGUACGCAGCGGGCGAGAAUAUGGCACAGCAAGGGGGCGCCAGAUACGACGACGCCGCGAUCGUGAUACCCUGUUACUAGUUGUGAACAAAUGUGGACGUUGCCGAGGCGUUAUUGACGGUAAUGGGUAAAGAAGCCCCGGCUAACUACGUG